rnacentral:lncRNA from 1 species
CUGAGCUACACUUGUCUCAGGUCUCAGGUGUCAGGCUCUGGAGCACUCAGGCUGACUCAGAAACUGACUCUCGGGGGAUCAAAAAAGGAGCAACUGUUCAAAAAUGAUGGAUCCCAUUUUUCAAGACUUGCCAUGCCACACAAGAUGAGACCCCACCGAGACAGGCUCUAACAGGCAUCAGGAAAAGAGGAUGCAGUGUGUUUCUUCACAGGGUCAGACCAGGGAGCUCCAGCCGGCCGGAGCUCCAGGUGUUUAUUCUGGUUUCACACUUGGUGCCCCGGCCCCUCCACCUUGCCGUCCCACUGCCUCUGUGGGCGGCGGGAGGGCGCCACGUGUCGGUGGGGGCGUCCGUGGGCGACAGCGCUGACGUCAGGAAACAAGGCCCCACCCACACAGCCUGGUUUUCAGUUUCACCAGGCUGCAAACACCAUUAUGCAAAUUAUUUUCCUCGCCCACACCCCCACCCCCAGCCCAGUCUUACAUAUUCAUUCUUCGGUCUGGAGUUAAUGGCCACCCGAGGCAACUGAGUAUUUGCAUAUUUACUUUAAAAUGGCCAGGUGCAAUUUUGAAACAAGAUUCUCCUUUCGGAAGGGCAAUCGCGAAUAUAAAGUGAUGAAUUAGUAGCAGUGUCAAGAGUGAAGCCCCGAGGCCAACUUCUACAGAAAAGGAGGUGGAAUGGCAGAUGUCAAGGGUUUCUCUCAGCAGAUACACGGGAGGAGCCGUUUCCAGGAGAGUCAUUUCUGCUUCCCCCAAAGACAUUCUUCCCUGGUCCCACAGACGCUCGGUUUCGUUUUCAAGGAAGUGGAUUCUGAAGGCGUCGAGGGUGACCGUUGGUAGGUUUUAAGGGUGAAGAAGAGAUCACAGUCGGAGCAAACCAAAGAAGAGUCAAGUGCCAGCUGCCUAAGAAAGAGGAGAGAGGCCCAGAGGGCAGGACCCGAGUCGGGUGAAGGGGCAGGGACGGAGAGAGGGAAUCGGGAGCUGAAGAGAGACGUGCUGGGAGAGGCUGCCUCAGGGCGAGGGGGUGCAGGAGGAAGACAAGGCCCAGGGGCCUUUUCACAAGACUCUGCUGGGCAGGUGUGACGUCAUCUCCUCUCCAGCACGCUCGGAGGAACGCAGAUGUUCUCUUACCGCUCAGUGCACGCUGCAGGGCUCUGAAUCCAGCUCGGGGGCAGGCCCCAGACUGGGCCCCUCCUCACAGCUUCUCUGGCCACUUUCCAGUUACAGUCAAUAUGAAUAGAUUAGGCAGUUUCACCACCUGCCCCAAAUUGCUAUUUUUAAUAAGUUAAAC